rnacentral:rRNA from 1 species
CCCUUAGAUGUUCUGGGCUGCACGCGCGCUACACUGAUGCACUCAACGAGUUUACGACCUUGCCCGAUAGGGUUGGGUAAUCUUUUUAAAAUGCAUCGUGAUGGGGAUAGAUUAUUGCAAUUAUUAAUCUUCAACGAGGAAUUCCUAGUAAGCGCGAGUCAUCAGCUCGCGUUGAUUACGUCCCUGCCCUUUGUACACACCGCCCGUCGCUCCUACCGAUUGAAUGGUCCGGUGAAAUCUUCGGAUUGCUGACCAAGAUCCAGCAAUGGAGCUUGGUUGCGAGAAGUUGAUUAAACCUUAUUAUUUAGAGGAAGGAGAAGUCGUAACA